rnacentral:misc_RNA from 1 species
GAAAUGCGAUAAGUAAUGUGAAUUGCAGAAUUCAGUGAAUCAUCGAAUCUUUGAACGCACCUUGCGCUCCUUGGUAUUCCUUGGAGCAUGCCUGUUUGAGUAUCAUGAAAUCUUCAAAGUAAAUCUUUUGUUAACUCAAUUGGUUUCUACUUUGGUAUUGGAGGUCUUUGCAGCUUCACACCUGCUCCUCUUUGUUCAUUAGCUGGAUUUCAGUGUUAUGCUUGGUUCCACUCGGCGUGAUAAGUUAUCUAUCGCUGAGGACACUGUAAAAGGUGGCCAAGGUAAAUGCAGAUGAACCGCUUCUAAUAGUCCAUUGACUUGGACAAUACUUUUAUGAUCUGAUCUGAAAUCAGGUAGGACUACCCGCUGAACUUAAGC